AUUUGAUCCUGGCUCAGAUUGAACGCUGGCGGCAGGCCUACAUGCAAGUCGAACGGUAACAGGAAGCAGCUUGCUGCUUCGCUGACGAGUGGCGGACGGGUGAGUAAUGUCUGGGAAACUGCCUGAUGGAGGGGGAUAACUACUGGAAACGGUAGCUAAUACCGCAUAACGUCGCAAGACCAAAGAGGGGGACCUUCGGGCCUCUUGCCAUCGGAUGUGCCCAGAUGGGAUUAGCUAGUAGGUGGGGUAACGGCUCACCUAACGAUCCCUAGCUGGUCUGAGAGGAUGACCAGCCACACUGGAACUGAGACACGGUCCAGACUCCUACGGGAGGCAGCAGUGGGGAAUAUUGCACAAUGGGCGCAAGCCUGAUGCAGCCAUGCCGCGUGUAUGAAGAAGGCCUUCGGGUUGUAAAGUACUUUCAGCGGGGAGGAAGGCGAUAAGGUUAAUAACCUUGUCGAUUGACGUUACCCGCAGAAGAAGCACCGGCUAACUCCGUGCCAGCAGCCGCGGUAAUACGGUUGGUGCAAGCGUUAAUCGGAAUUACUGGGCGUAAAGCGCACGCAGGCGGUCUGUCAAGUCGGAUGUGAAAUCCCAUGGCUCAACCUGGGAACUGCAUUCGAAACUGGCAGGCUAGAGUCUUGUAGAGGGGGGUAGAAUUCCAGGUGUAGCGGUGAAAUGCGUAGAGAUCUGGAGGAAUACCGGUGGCGAAGGCGGCCCCCUGGACAAAGACUGACGCUCAGGUGCGAAAGCGUGGGGAGCAAACAGGAUUAGAUACCCUACAAGUCCACGCCGUAAACGAUGUCGACUUGGAGGUUGUGCCCUUGAGGCGUGGCUUCCGGAGCUAACGCGUUAAGUCGACCGCCUGGGGAGUACGGCCGCAAGGUUAAAACUCAAAUGAAUUGACGGUUACCCGCACAAGCGGUGGAGCAUGUGGUUUAAUUCGAUGCAACGCGAAGAACCUUACCUACUCUUGACAUCCAGAGAACUUUCCAGAGAUGACGUGGUGCCUUCGGGAACUGAGACAGGUGCUGCAUGGCUGUCGUCAGCUCGUGUUGUGAAAUGUUGGGUUAAGUCCCGCAACGAGCGCAACCCUUCUUUGUUGCCAGCGGUUAGGCCGGGAACUCAAAGGAGACUGCCAGUGAUAAACUGGAGACAGGUGGGGAUGACGUCAAGUCAUCAUGGCCCUUACGAGUAGGGCUACACACGUGCUACAAUGGCGCAUACAAAGAGAAGCGACCUCGCGAGAGCAAGCGGACCUCAUAAAGUGCGUCGUAGUCCGGAUUGGAGUCUGCAACUCGACUCCAUGAAGUCGGAAUCGCUAGUAAUCGUGGAUCAGAAUGCCACGGUGAAUACGUUCCCCCUUGUACACACCGCCCGUCACACCAUGGGAGUGGGUUGCAAAAGAAGUAGGUAGCUUAACCUUCGGGAGGGCGCUUACCACUUUGUGAUUCAUGACUGGGGUGAAGUCGUAACACUGUA
rnacentral:rRNA from 1 species